UGAUGGCAAAGCUGAUCCACACAUUGCGGCCCCCUUUCCCCCCUCAGAGACCCUGACCUCCCGAGCACAGCCAGCCACCGCGCAACGCCGGCCACCACCACCACCACCAUACCUGCUAGCGCUAGCUCUCUUUAUUUAACGCCGCCGUGUGCGUGCCUCGACGACCUCACUACUUUGAGCUGCAAGGUCCGAACUAAAAAGCACAAGAAAUGGCGGCCGCCUUCUCCUCCACCGUCGGAGCUCCGGCCUCCACCCCGACCAGGAGCAGCUUCCUCGGGAAGAAGCUCAACAAGCCGCAGGUGUCCGCGGCCGUGACCUACCAUGGCAAGAGCUCCAGCAGCAACAGCAGGUUCAAGGCGAUGGCUGCCAAGGAGGUGGACGAGACGAAGCAGACCGACGAGGACAGGUGGAAGGGCCUGGCCUACGACAUCUCGGACGACCAGCAGGACAUCACCAGGGGCAAGGGCCUCGUCGACAACCUCUUCCAGGCGCCUAUGGGGGACGGCACCCACGUCGCCGUGCUCAGCUCCUACGACUACAUCAGCCAGGGCCAAAAGUCUUACAACUUCGACAACAUGAUGGAUGGCUUCUACAUAGCCAAGGGCUUCAUGGACAAGCUCGUCGUCCACCUCUCCAAGAACUUCAUGACCCUGCCAAACAUCAAGGUUCCCCUCAUCCUGGGUAUCUGGGGAGGCAAAGGCCAGGGAAAAUCGUUCCAAUGCGAGCUGGUCUUCGCCAAGAUGGGCAUCACCCCCAUCAUGAUGAGCGCCGGCGAGCUGGAGAGCGGCAACGCCGGAGAGCCCGCCAAGCUCAUCAGGCAGCGCUACCGUGAGGCCUCCGACCUCAUCAAGAAGGGCAAGAUGUCCUGCCUCUUCAUCAACGACCUCGACGCCGGCGCGGGUCGCAUGGGCGGCACCACCCAGUACACGGUGAACAACCAGAUGGUCAACGCCACCCUGAUGAACAUCGCCGACAACCCCACCAACGUGCAGCUCCCGGGGAUGUACAACAAGGAGGACAACCCCCGCGUGCCCAUCAUCGUCACCGGCAACGACUUCUCCACGCUCUACGCGCCGCUCAUCCGCGACGGCCGCAUGGAGAAGUUCUACUGGGCGCCCACCCGCGAGGACCGCAUCGGCGUCUGCAAGGGCAUCUUCCGCACCGACGGCGUCGACGAGGAGCACGUCGUCCAGCUGGUCGACACCUUCCCUGGCCAGUCCAUCGACUUCUUCGGCGCGCUGCGUGCCCGGGUCUACGACGACGAGGUCCGACGGUGGGUGAGCGAGACCGGCGUCGAGAACAUCGCCAGGAAGCUCGUCAACUCCAAGGAGGGCCCGCCCACGUUCGAGCAGCCCAAGAUAACGAUCGAGAAGCUCUUGGAGUACGGACACAUGCUGGUGGCGGAGCAGGAGAACGUCAAGCGUGUGCAGCUUGCUGACAAGUACCUCAACGAGGCUGCUCUUGGUGAAGCCAACGAGGACGCCAUGAAGACUGGCUCCUUCUUCAAGUAGAAAGCAACUCUUUGCUAUUGCUAGCUAGGCGCGAGGCCGGCAUAGGAUCGAGGAGGGCGCCACCAAAAUGCAUUGGAGCUAACGAACAGCGAGGGGCGAUCAUGGCAGCAGCUGCCACUACAUCUUCUAAACUUGCCAUUUUUAUUAUCCCUGAUCCAUGUAUUACUCUUAAUUUGUACGUACUACAAUACGGGAUCUGGCCAAGCGCGAUAUAUAGCUGGGCAUGCAAAGUUUUUGUCGAUGUUUUUUUUUUGAAAGAAACAAGGUAGAAGGGCUAGCUGUGCUUGUUAAAUUAAAAAGAAGGUGAGCCAAGACUAGCAGAACAAGGCUGUACAAAAAAAACUACACAAAGUGUGCCAAAGAAGAACUCUCAGUGUCGGCCUAUAUAUCAAAAUUGCCAUAUGUUUCACUCCUGCCAUGAUCCACACUCCGCUUUCAUCUUUUAUUUUCUGUAUGUUGGGCUGUGUGUAUGUGUUGGUGUUGGGCUUGGACCUUGUACUUAGGGGUGUUUGGUUCCUUCAGUCAUAUGUGUUUGCAACCUAUAUGAGUACCCUA